AUGAAGUACAUGCACUGUCUUCGCGAAGGAUUGGAGCUCCCAGAGUUAGACCAAGGCAUUGCUUUUCCAGGGAUGGACUCUAUUGAGAAAGUUCUUCAGUUGGUGAAGAUUCUACAGUUAGAUGCUUACAAUGCUGGUAUUUUCAGUCAUGAAAAAGCGCAACAGCCAGAUGUAUGGCGUGCACGUGAUGAGUCAUUUGCUAGAAAGGAAAAGGAUACACACUGCAAAAAGAAACAUGGAAAAGGUGCACCUCCUCCUGAGGAUUCUUUUGUACCUAUGGAUGACGGUCUGUUUCAUAUGUUGAAUGUCAAUGGGAAGGUGGAAAGUUUAUUUACAGAGCAGCCCCCUGGUCCUGAACUGAAACUGGGUCAAGGGCAUGGGCGGUUUUCAAAUAAAGCAAAAGUUAGUUCUCCAAGCUGCUACGCUAGAAGGAAGAUGAGCACCCAAGGAUGGGACAACGAGAUUCUUCAUCUGAAAAGGUCUAUUUUGGAUAUGCCAAUGGACAAACUGCUGCAUACCACCUUGGCGAGAAGACAAGUGCAAAUGCCCAUGAGGCUUCAUGUCAGCAUCAUAAAUACCUCAAAAAAAUGA
rnacentral:rRNA from 1 species